GGCAACCUCUCCGGUGGCCUAGUAGUCAGAGCGUCCGCCUCAGAUGCGGGAGAUCGCGGUUUUGAUUCCCGGCCGAGUCA